rnacentral:rRNA from 1 species
GGACCCGACUGCUCUUUUGGGUGGGGAUUAAGACAUGCGAGAUGAAAUGAGACACCUAACUGUCUCAUAAGCAAUCUGCUCAGUAACACAUGAUCAACCUUACCGUAUGAAGGGAACUAGCCUCGGGAAGCUGAGGGAUAAAUGUCCCAUAUCUGAUUCGGCUUGGAAAAGUGUUUCAUUGAAAGGGACAUAGAAAAAUGGUCUAUGUCUGUCAUAGGAUGGGAUUGUGGUCGAUUAGGUAGUUGGUGAGGUAAAGGCUCACCAAGCCGAUAAUCGAUAGGGGCCGUGAGAGCGGGAGCCUCGAGAUGGGUACUUAGACAGCGACCCAGGCCCUACGGUGCGCAGCAGGUACGAAACCUCCGCAAUACACGCAAGUGUGACGGGGCUACCCAAAGUGCACCACAUAGGAGCUGUGGUAGAUGACUAGUGUUCUCUACUAGAAAGGAGAGGGCAAGGCUGGUGCCAGCCGCCGCGGUAAAACCAGCUCUUCAAGUGGUCGGGAUAAUUAUUGGGCUUAAAGUGUCCGUAGCUGGUAAGGUAAGUUCCUGGUAAAAUGGGGCAGCUUAACUGUCUUUAUGCUAGGAAUACUGCUUUACUAGAGGGCGGGAGAGGUCUGAGGUACUACAGGGGUAGGGGUGAAAUCUUAUAAUCCUUGUAGGACCACCAGUGGCGAAAGCGUCAGACUGGAACGCGCCUGACAGUGAGGGACGAAAGCCAGGGGAGCGAACCGGAUUAGAUACCCGGGUAGUCCUGGCCGUAAACGAUGCACACUAGAUGAUGGUGCGGCCAUGAGCCGUAUCAGUGUCGUAGGGAAACCGUUAAGUGUGCCGCCUGGGAAGUACGGUCGCAAGGCUUAAACUUAA